GUCUAUAAACUGGGGGGAUAUCUGAGAACACAGUGGCUGCAAGGAAAAUAAUCACACAUUAGUAGGCUAAAGAAAAGGAGGAGAACCCAGCAGGAUACGAAGCUGCCUCACUCAUCCCUCAGGAACCCCAAGAGUGGAAACCUACAAGAUGUAAAUAUGGAGUUGGUAGGAAUCAGCAUUAAGAACUUCUUCCAUGAUAAAGCAAAUAUCAAGAAAGUGCCCAUAUAACGCUGAAUGAAGCCAUGUGGUGUAAUGGUUAAAGAACAAGAACACUGAUGUCAGACAACUGUGGGUUCAGAUUCGGAUUCUAGCAGAUCCCUUUGCAGCCUACUACUGAAGGAAUGGAAAGACCUCACAGUGGGCCACCAGAGGGCUACGACACAUGCAAAGAACUUGCAACCCUCCUUGUUUCCUUAUUUUUCCUGAUUCCAUUGGCAGAAUUUUUUUCCUUGCCCAAAGCAGAGCUGCAAAUGAAAGCAGCUGCCCAAAGUGGAGGAAGUUCAAAGACCAGAGAAGAAAGAGAAAGGAGGUGGGGGUCAAAUGAGGAAAACAACUGAGGACAGCAAGAAGACUCUUGGCAACUCUGCCUUGUACAAAAGUCUAAAACAGAAAACAUACGGGGGACAGAUGGACUGGUGGCAGCCGUGGGCAAAGUGAUGCACCCAUAGGCUUUCAAGUGACAACUAAGUAUUGUAUUUUACAGAUUCAAAAAUUUUUAAUGCUCCCAGGGCAAGAAAUAUUUCAAAGUAUCUUCCUCUGAGCUUUUGGUGGCCACUUUUCUGGUUCCUGUCAUACACUCAUUCAUGUUUCUGAAUCAUGCUACAGAUGAAAACCUAUCUAAAAUUUUUGUAUGAAUUUCUCCUUUUGACUUAGGGGUUAUCGAGAAAAUAGAAGUAUGUUUAUUUCCAAUCUGACUUCAA